GGUCGUCUUCAGUCUCAGGCACUGCCAGAUUGGCUGGUGAUGUGUCUGCUUGUAUUUUUCAGGAAGGAAAAUGAAUGGCAUUGGGAUUCGUAAAUAACCAGUGAAGCUCUGAAAGCUCAGCAUGAAGCUGAGGAGAAGAGCUGCUACAGGUAAGGAGCCAGUGCUGUUCCAGCAGCGUUGGGCAGAAAUGCAAGUGGUGGGCAGCAAAAUCUCCUUCUUCAAAACAAUGAGUAAUUGCGUUUUCCCACAAAUCAGAUUAUUCACUGUGAAUAAACCCCAUAAUAUUCUUUGUUGGUCCACUGCAGGCUGUGUUUUUGUGCCAUGGAUGGCACAGAGGCUGGCUGAGGGGCAGUCCCAGAGCACCUUCAAUCUCCUCCUGCAGAUGAGGAGACAUAGGCUGUAGUGAGAACACCACUGAACAGGUCCUGACCCUGCAAAGUACUCAUUUUUCCUCUGC
rnacentral:lncRNA from 1 species